GCCGCCGGCCGCUGCUUUGUCAUCCUCCGGCGGCCCCGCCCCGCGGAGCGGCCGCAGGUCAUUUACUCACCCAUCCUCAAAAAAAGUGCCGGAUGAGCCAUAGAAAUGGCCCUAUGGAGAGGAAGAAGCCAGACAUGGCCUAAGGUAAUGCAGGAUGGUUCAAUCUGAGCCGAAGACUUUGCAGAUGUUUUACCCUGACACUGGCUGCUGUGUGACCCUAUCCUGCCAGGUCUUUCUCACAGCCUGAAGUAAAGGACGUUUUACAUCGCAGCUGACAACCAAUCUUGAUGUUGGGACAAGACUCAGAGGCCUGUGUGGGGCCUAAGCUUUGUAAAAAUGUAGAAAUAACUGUGCAAAUUGGUGUUGACUCAUUUGACUGGUUUGAUGUUCUGAGGUACAAAAAGGCAUGGACAGAGAAAUCUUCCAGAACACACUGACCGGAGACAGUCGCUGCGACUGAUCUCAUACUGGUCCUUCCAGAAACCCUGGAU